rnacentral:lncRNA from 1 species
AAGAAUGCAACAGAAGAAUGGAAACCAAAAUACAACAGUUGCUCCAGACGGUCUCACACAGUCCCCUUCUUUGAGGACCUAUGCAACCGGUAGACGGUAGACUGAGACCUGAAUACAAAAUUCCACAAAACUAAAGCACUUGACGCAGUUUGAAUAGACUAUGUAGCAAAUGCAAUGAGGUAGAAUUAUGCACACAGUUUAACAGUUUUUCUUAUAUCCAGUCAUUUAGUAUCUGUUCCAAAG